UCUUUCACUCUUGGGCCUAGUGAGGCAGCUUAUUUUUCCUUUUUCUUUCAUUGGUCACAGUUAUUUAUUUUCAGUGUGUCAUCUUCUCUAAGUUUCUGAGGGAGUGUUAGCUUGAGGCCUUGCCUUGACAUAAUCAGAUAUAAUCAGAAAAAUGAAAAAUUCCAUAGGAAAGAACUAUUUUAGCCAAGGUGUGUGAGAGAAAUACCACCACUUUCAAGCACUGUUUUCUUCUACUGGAGCCUGCUCAAUAGGGACGUCAACUUUGCUGGGGCUUCCUUUGACAAGAGAAUCGGAACUGACUGGUGACAUUUGUUUCAAUGAAAGCAACGGUGUGAAUAGUAAGUAGUUUUUCCUAUUAUUCAUCUCACUCAGUGGAGAUAAUGAACUCCUCUCCACUGCCAAGAUGAGAAACUACCAUUUCUUACGCAUGGACACAAAGAUGAGAACAAUAAACACUGGGAAUUCAAAAAGGAGGGAAGGAGAAAGAGGAGCAAUGCUUGAAAAACUACCUAUCAGAACUUGCAAUUUAUUCUGAUGAACAAUUUGUCCAGCUUAAAGGACUACAUAUGCCCCCUUUUCUUGUGGCUGUAGGGGCACAGCAAAGGUCACUGGGCUAACCUCCUUAAAGGGACUCUGCUGACAGAUCUUAGCCUGCUGCUGGAAAUGGCCCUCUCAGUGGACUCAUCGUGGCAUCGGUGGCAGUGGAGAGUCAGAGAUGGCUUCCCCCAUUGUCCAUCAGAAACCACACCGCUGCUCUCUCCAGAGAAAGGGAGACAGAGCUACAACUUGACACAGCAGCGGAUCGUGUUCCCCAACAACAGCAUAUUCCAUCAAGAUUGGGAAGAGGUCUCCAGGAGAUACCCUGGCAACAGAACCUGCACAACCAAAUACACCCUCUUCACCUUCCUUCCCCGGAAUCUCUUUGAGCAAUUUCAUAGAUGGGCUAACCUCUAUUUCCUAUUCCUGGUGAUUUUGAACUGGAUGCCCUCCAUGGAAGUUUUCCACAGAGAAAUCACCAUGUUACCAUUGGCCAUUGUCUUGUUCGUCAUCAUGAUCAAGGAUGGCAUGGAGGACUUCAAGAGACACCGCUUUGAUAAAGCAAUAAACUGCUCCAACAUUCGAAUUUAUGAAAGAAAAGAGCAGACCUAUGUGCAGAAGUGCUGGAAGGAUGUGCGCGUGGGAGACUUCAUCCAAAUGAAAUGCAACGAGAUUGUCCCAGCAGACAUACUCCUCCUUUUUUCCUCAGACCCCAGUGGGAUAUGCCAUCUGGAAACUGCCAGCUUGGAUGGAGAGACAAACCUCAAGCAAAGACGUGUCGUGAAGGGCUUCUCACAGCAGGAGGUACAGUUCGAACCAGAGCUUUUCCACAAUACCAUCGUGUGUGAGAAACCCAACAACCACCUCAACAAAUUUAAGGGUUAUAUGGAGCAUCCUGACCAGACCAGGACUGGCUUUGGCUGUGAGAGUCUUCUGCUUCAAGGCUGCACCAUCAGAAACACCGAGAUGGCUGUUGGCAUUGUCAUCUAUGCAGGCCAUGAGACAAAAGCCAUGCUGAACAACAGUGGGCCCCGGUACAAACGCAGCAAGAUUGAGCGGCGCAUGAACAUAGACAUCUUCUUCUGCAUUGGGAUCCUCAUCCUCAUGUGCCUUAUUGGAGCUGUAGGUCACAGCAUCUGGAGUGGGACCUUUGAAGAACACCCUCCCUUCGAUGUGCCAGAUGCCGAUGGCAGCUUCCUUCCCAGUGCCCUUGGGGGCUUCUACAUGUUCCUCACAAUGAUCAUCCUGCUCCAGGUGCUGAUCCCCAUCUCUUUGUAUGUCUCCAUUGAGCUGGUGAAGCUCGGGCAAGUGUUCUUCUUGAGCAAUGACCUUGACCUGUAUGAUGAAGAGACCGAUUUAUCCAUUCAAUGUCGAGCCCUCAACAUCACGGAGGACUUGGGCCAGAUCCAGUACAUCUUCUCCGAUAAGACGGGGACCCUGACAGAGAACAAGAUGGUGUUCCGACGUUGCACCAUCAUGGGCAGCGAGUAUUCUCACCAAGAAAAUGGUAUGAGAGCUCCCAAGGGCUCCAUCCCUCUUUCUAAAAGGAAAUACCCUGCUCUCCUAAGAAACGAGGAGAUAAAAGACAUUCUCCUGGCUCUCUUAGAGGCUGUGUGGCAUUUCCACAAGUUGCUUCCUAUAUCCUUGUGGUCUUCCUUGUCACAGAUCAGGGCUGUUCCAAUUACUUAUAAACUUUCAUUUGUUUACAAAGGUUAGAAGUUAUCCCAUAUGUGGUUCCCCUUCAGUUGAUCUUUGUCUGGUGCCAGACAAAGCACUUUAUGAGACGAGUUUUUUAUCUGUCAGCAAUGGAUUGGAGACAUUUCCCAAUUGUGUGCCAGUCACACAACCAAGGCUUGGGAAUUUCUUAGGCCACCUUACCUGACAUGUCAGGGCAGGUCUGUGUCUAGGUGCACGGUCAGAUUUAACACAUCCAGAAGAUGCCUUCUAUUCUAACAGAUCUCUUAGCUUGUCACUGAGGCAAAGUUUUGAUUUAGGAGAUAGGGCUAUAAAAUGCCUGGACUGUUACCUUGCAUGGACUGAAUAUGACUCAUAAAACUGACCUGAUUCCUUCAGCCAUCAUCUGCCCAACUUCGUCCCCCCACCCACAACACACAAACACUUUCUAAGAAAAGAAAUUUUUUUUUCAAUACUUUAAGUUCUGGGAUACAUGUGCAGAACGUGCAGGUUUGUUACAUAGGUAUACACGUGUCAUGGUGGUUUGCAGCACCCACCAACCCAUUAUCUACCUUAGGUAUUUCUCCUAAUGCUAUCCCUCCCCUAGCCCCCAACCCCCCGAUGGGCUCCAGUGUGUGAUGUUCCCCUCCAUGUCCAUGUGUUCUCAUUGUUCAAUUCCCACUUAUGAGUGAGAACAUGCAGCGUUUGGUUUUCUGUUCUUGUGUUAGUUUGCUGAUGGUUUCCAGUUCAUCCAUGUCCCUGCAAAGGACAUCAACUCAUCUUUUUUAUGGCUGCAUAGUAUUCCAUGGUGUAUAUGUGCCACAUUUUCUUUAUCCAGUCUAUCGUUGAUGGGCACUGGGGUUGGUUCCAAGUCUUUGUUAUUGUGAACAGUGCUGCAAUAAACUUACAUGUGC
rnacentral:sRNA from 1 species